CCCGAUGCGGCUGCCUAAUACAUGCAAGUCGAGCGGACAGAUGGGAGCUUGCUCCCUGAUGUUAGCGGCGGACGGGUGAGUAACACGUGGGUAACCUGCCUGUAAGACUGGGAUAACUCCGGGAAACCGGGGCUAAUACCGGAUGGUUGUUUGAACCGCAUGGUUCAAACAUAAAAGGUGGCUUCGGCUACCACUUACAGAUGGACCCGCGGCGCAUUAGCUAGUUGGUGAGGUAACGGCUCACCAAGGCAACGAUGCGUAGCCGACCUGAGAGGGUGAUCGGCCACACUGGGACUGAGACACGGCCCAGACUCCUACGGGAGGCAGCAGUAGGGAAUCUUCCGCAAUGGACGAAAGUCUGACGGAGCAACGCCGCGUGAGUGAUGAAGGUUUUCGGAUCGUAAAGCUCUGUUGUUAGGGAAGAACAAGUACCGUUCGAAUAGGGCGGUACCUUGACGGUACCUAACCAGAAAGCCACGGCUAACUACGUGCCAGCAGCCGCGGUAAUACGUAGGUGGCAAGCGUUGUCCGGAAUUAUUGGGCGUAAAGGGCUCGCAGGCGGUUUCUUAAGUCUGAUGUGAAAGCCCCCGGCUCAACCGGGGAGGGUCAUUGGAAACUGGGGAACUUGAGUGCAGAAGAGGAGAGUGGAAUUCCACGUGUAGCGGUGAAAUGCGUAGAGAUGUGGAGGAACACCAGUGGCGAAGGCGACUCUCUGGUCUGUAACUGACGCUGAGGAGCGAAAGCGUGGGGAGCGAACAGGAUUAGAUACCCUGGUAGUCCACGCCGUAAACGAUGAGUGCUAAGUGUUAGGGGGUUUCCGCCCCUUAGUGCUGCAGCUAACGCAUUAAGCACUCCGCCGGGGGAGUACGGUCGCAAGACUGAAACUCACAGGAAUUGACGGGGGCCCGCACAAGCGUUGGAGCAUGUGGUUUAAUUCGAAGCACCGCGAAGAACCUUACCAGGUCUUGANNUCCUCUGACAAUCCUAGAGAUAGGACGUCCCCUUCGGGGGCAGAGUGACAGGUGGUGCAAGGUGUCCGUCACCUCCGUCCUGAAAAGUUUGGUUUAUUCCCGCAACAAGCCAACCCUUGAUCUAAU
rnacentral:rRNA from 2 species